rnacentral:tRNA from 1 species
ACCACUGUGGCUCAGUUGGUAGAGCAUGGUGUUUGCAACACCAGGGUUGUGGGUUCGAUUCCCACGGGGGGCC